AAAUUAGAGUAAGGAGCACAGUGUUAAAAAUGCCAGUGGCUCAGAUCCUCAAACCCCACAAUCCCCCCUGGCAGAAACAAUGAAAUAAUCAAAAUACUGGAGAAAACAUUGUUUUUUAAAAAAUAAUUAUUUAAUUCUAAAGGUCAGUAAAAAUUUUCAGGACAAUUAACAGCUACCUUUUCUAAUUAUGGUUGAAUAUAUGUUUUACUUUCCUACAGUGAGAAAAAAGUUUAAGGGAAAGUCAAAGUGUGGUGCAUGGGGCUUAAGUACACAGCAUUCAUUUAAACAGACUGUCCCCUUUCACAAAGGUCUACUCCCAUAAUAAAGUCCAAGAAAUGGUACUAGAAUUCUAUUGGGAUGAGCUAAUCUUUAAGGCUUAUGGGAAAAAAAUUUUAUAUGGAAUGUUAACAUUCAUACCAUUUGAUGUAAUAGAAUGUGAUCUGUAUUUCUAGUCUUCCGUUUUAUAUCUUACAAGUUAAAAUCAUCACCCUCUCUACCUACUGUAUGUUUCCAUUUAUAUCUAAGUUCUAGAACAGGCAACCUAAACCGUAGUUUUAGGAAAUAAGAAGAGUGCUUGCCUCUGGGAUGGAACUGACUAGAAAGGAACACAAGGCACAGUGGAAAUGGAAGCGGCAGGAACAUACCAAACUUGAGGAUGACUGAAAACUACAAGCACCAAGACUGUACCAGCUCAAUAUGAUUCUCUGCCUAGUCUCAAGUCUGAUCAAGUGCCCUACCAGAACUUUCCAGGAUCUGCAGCUCCUUCCUGAUUCCUGGCUUAACUGCAGACAAAGCAUUGCCACCAACGAUGCUGCCACCACCACCACCACCACUCCCCGUUUCCAGGGUAAUAUUAAAGCAACACAAGAAUCCAAAGCAUACAGCAAUGCCAGUACUAGGAGUUGAUCAAAACUGUGCCUUCCCUGUGGCCAUUAUUUUGCUCUCUCUUCAUGGGUUCACUCUCCUGCUGCUUAUAAAAGAGGCUCAGGC